rnacentral:lncRNA from 1 species
UUUUUUUUUUUUUUUGAGAUGGAGUUUUGCUCUUGUUGUCCUGGCUGGAGUGCAAUGGUGCAAUCUCGGCUCAUUGCAACCUCCACCUCCUGGAUUCAAGCAAUUCUCCUGCCUCAGCCUCCCGAGUAGCUGGGAUUACAGGCGCACGCCACCAUGCCCAGCUAAUGUUUUGUAUUUUUUAGUAGAGAUAGGGUUUCACCACAUUGGCCAGGCUGGUCAAACUCCUUACCUCAGGUGAUCCAGCCACCUCAGCCUCACAAAGUGCUGGGAUUACAGGCAUGUCACCAUGCCUGGCUCAGGAAGGGGGAUUUUUUUAAAGGAAGAGGCAUAAUGGGAUCUUAUGAAGGCUGGUCAGUGAAGACCUCACUGAAAGGGAUAUUGAGCAAAGACGUGAAGGAAGUGGAGUGUGACAGGCAGAAUAACAGCUCCCCAACAACGUCCAUAUCCUAAUGCAUGGAACCUAUGAAUAUGUUACCUUACAUAGCAAAAGAGACUUUGCAGAUGCAAUCGAAUUAAGGAGCUUGAGAAGGAGAGAUUAUCCUGGAUUAUCCUUACAAGUGAAAGAGAAGCAGGAGAGUAAUUACAGGGAUCCUUACAAGUGAAAAGAGGCAGCCAGGAGAGUGAGAGAAGAACAUGAGAUGGCAGAAGUAGAGACUGUGAUAAUGCAGACAUGGAGGCCGCUUCUGGAAGCUGAAAAGGGCAAGGAAGUCAAUUCUCCCCUACAGCCUCCAGAAGGAAGGCAGCCCCUCCAACAUCUUGACUCUAGCCCUUUAAAACUAAUUGUGGGCCAGUGUGGUGGCUAAUGCCUUUUUUUUUUUUUUUUUUUUAAGUGGGAUGGCUUUUAUCACCAUUUCAAUGGAGGAAGUAUAACAUAGGGCUAUAGAGUGAGACUGUCUAGGUUCAAACACUGACUUGAACUUGGGUAAACAGUCUGGCAGUUCCUUAAAAGGGUAAGCAGGCCGGGUGUGGUGGCUCACGCCUGUAAUCCCAGCACUUUGGGAGACCAAGGUGGGUGGAUCAUAAGGUCAGGAGAUGGAGACCAUCCUGGCUAACAUGGUGAAACCCUGUCUCUACUAAAAAUACAAAAAAUUAUCCAGGCAUGAUGGUGGGGACUGUAAUCCCAGCUACUCAGGAGGCUGAGGCAAGAGAAUCACUUGAACCCGGGAGGUGGAGGUUGCAGUGAGCCAAGAUCGUGCCACUGCACUCCAGCCUGAGCAACAGAGCGAGGGGCAACAGAGCAAGACUCUGUCUCAAAAAAAGGGUUAAGCAUUCCCACAUGACGCAGCAAUUCUCCUCCUAGGUAUAUAUGUAAGAGAAUGAAAAACGUUUACACAAAAGCUUCUACAUACAUAGUCAUAGCAGCAUUAUUCUUUUUUUUAACCCUCCCUAGUCACAGCUAGUAGGUAUUAUUCUUAAUAGCCAAAAGGUGAAAAAGUGAAAACAACCCAAAUACAUCAACUGAUGAAUGGAUUAAACAGCAUAUUGUAUAUCCAUACAAUGGAAAAAAUUUUCAACCAUAAAAAGGGAUGAAGGCAGCCAUAAAAAAGGAUGAGUUCAUGUCCUUUGCAGGGACAUGGAUACAGCUGGAAGCCAUCAUUCUCAGCAAACUAUCACAAGGACAGAAAAUCAAACACUGCAUGUUCUCACUCAUAGGUGGGAAUUGAACAAUGAGAUCACUUGGACAUAGGGCAGGAAACAUCACACACUGGGGCCUGUCAGGGAUUGGGGGAGGGGGGAGGGAUAGCAUUAGGAGAAAUACCUAAUGUAAAUGAUGAGUUGAUAGGUGCAGCAAACCAACAUGGCACAUGUAUACCUAUGUAUCAAACCUGCAUGUUGUG